UACGGGGGGGGCAAGCGUUGUUCGGAAUUACUGGGCGUAAAGGGUGCGUAGGUGGCGCGGUAAGUCGGGUGUGAAAUUUCGGAGCUUAACUCCGAAACUGCAUUCGAUACUGCCGUGCUUGAGGACUGGAGAGGAGACUGGAAUUUACGGUGUAGCAGUGAAAUGCGUAGAUAUCGUAAGGAAGACCAGUGGCGAAGGCGGGUCUCUGGACAGUUCCUGACACUGAGGCACGAAGGCCAGGGGAGCAAACGGG
rnacentral:rRNA from 1 species